rnacentral:rRNA from 1 species
UACGUAGGGGGCUAGCGUUGUUCGGAAUUAUUGGGCGUAAAGCGCGUGUAGGCGGCUUUGCAAGUCGGGUGUGAAAGCCCUCAGCUCAACUGAGGAAGUGCGCCCGAAACUGCAGAGCUUGAGUGCCGGAGAGGGUGGCGGAAUUCCCCAAGUAGAGGUGAAAUUCGUAGAUAUGGGGAGGAACACCGGUGGCGAAGGCGGCCACCUGGACGGUAACUGACGCUGAGACGCGAAAGCGUGGGUAGCAAACAGG